GAUGAACGCUGGCGGCGUGCCUAAUACAUGCAAGUCGAGCGAACGGACGAGAAGCUUGCUUCUCUGAUGUUAGCGGCGGACGGGUGAGUAACACGUGGAUAACCUACCUAUAAGACUGGGAUAACUUCGGGAAACCGUAGCUAAUACCGGAUAAUAUUUUGAACCGCAUGGUUCAAAAGUGAAAGACGGUCUUGCUGUCACUUAUAGAUGGAUCCGCGCUGCAUUAGCUAGUUGGUAAGGUAACGGCUUACCAAGGCAACGAUGCAUAGCCGACCUGAGAGGGUGAUCGGCCACACUGGAACUGAGACACGGUCCAGACUCCUACGGGAGGCAGCAGUAGGGAAUCUUCCGCAAUGGGCGAAAGCCUGACGGAGCAACGCCGCGUGAGUGAUGAAGGUCUUCGGAUCGUAAAACUCUGUUAUUAGGGAAGAACAUAUGUGUAAGUAACUGUGCACAUCUUGACGGUACCUAAUCAGAAAGCCACGGCUAACUACGUGCCAGCAGCCGCGGUAAUACGUAGGUGGCAAGCGUUAUCCGGAAUUAUUGGGCGUAAAGCGCGCGUAGGCGGUUUUUUAAGUUUGAUGUGAAAGCCCACGGCUCAACCGUGGAGGGUCAUUGGAAACUGGAAAACUUGAGUGCAGAAGAGGAAAGUGGAAUUCCAUGUGUAGCGGUGAAAUGCGCAGAGAUAUGGAGGAACACCAGUGGCGAAGGCGACUUUCUGGUCUGUAACUGACGCUGAUGUGCGAAAGCGUGGGGAUCAAACAGGAUUAGAUACCCUGGUAGUCCACGCCGUAAACGAUGAGUGCUAAGUGUUAGGGGGUUUCCGCCCCUUAGUGCCGCAGCUAACGCAUUAAGCACUCCGCCUGGGGAGUACGACCGCAAGGUUGAAACUCAAAGGAAUUGACGGGGACCCGCACAAGCGGUGGAGCAUGUGGUUUAAUUCGAAGCAACGCGAAGAACCUUACCAAAUCUUGACAUCCUUUGACAACUCUAGAGAUAGAGCCUUCCCCUUCGGGGGACAAAGUGACAGGUGGUGCAUGGUUGUCGUCAGCUCGUGUCGUGAGAUGUUGGGUUAAGUCCCGCAACGAGCGCAACCCUUAAGCUUAGUUGCCAUCAUUAAGUUGGGCACUCUAAGUUGACUGCCGGUGACAAACCGGAGGAAGGUGGGGAUGACGUCAAAUCAUCAUGCCCCUUAUGAUUUGGGCUACACACGUGCUACAAUGGACAAUACAAAGGGCAGCGAAACCGCGAGGUCAAGCAAAUCCCAUAAAGUUGUUCUCAGUUCGGAUUGUAGUCUGCAACUCGACUACAUGAAGCUGGAAUCGCUAGUAAUCGUAGAUCAGCAUGCUACGGUGAAUACGUUCCCGGGUCU
rnacentral:rRNA from 1 species